GUAGGGAAUAUUGGGCAAUGGAUGCAAGUCUGACCCAGCCAUGCCGCGUGGAGGAAGAAGGUCCUCUGGAUUGUAAACUCCUUUUUUGGGGGAAGAAUAGUUCUCUUGCGAGGGAAUGUGACGGUACCCUAAGAAUAAGCCACGGCUAACUACGUGCCAGCAGCCGCGGUAAUACGUAGGUGGCAAGCGUUGUCCGGAUUUAUUGGGUUUAAAGGGUGCGUAGGUGGUUUGAUAAGUCAGUGGUGAAAGCUGGUUGCUCAACAAUCAAGUUGCCAUUGAUACUGUCGGACUUGAGAGAAGUGGAGGUUCAUGGAAUGGAUGGUGUAGCGGUGAAAUGCAUAGAUAUCAUCCAGAACGUCGAUUGCGAAGGCAGUGGGCUGUACUUUAUCUGACACUGAGGCACGAAAGUGUGGGGAUCAAACAGGAUUAGAUACCCCUGUAGUCC
rnacentral:rRNA from 1 species